AGUUGAUAGAUGUCGGCGUAAAGAGUGGUUAAGAUCUUAUUCUAAACUAAAGCCGAAUACCUUCAGAGCUGUCAUACGCAUCCGAAGGCAAGAAGCCCAACCACGAAAGUGGCUUUAUUACAUCUGAUCCCACGAAAGCUACGGUACAAACUGGGAUUAGAUACCCCACUAUGCCUAGCCCUAAACAUUGAUAGUAAUCUACCCCUACUAUCCGCCUGGGAACUACGAGCAUUAGCUUGAAACCCAAAGGACUUGGCGGUGCUUUAGACCCACCUAGAGGAGCCUGUUCUAGAACCGAUUAUCCCCGUUCAACCUCACCUUUCCUUGUUUUCCCCGCCUAUAUACCACCGUCGUCAGCUUACCCUGUGAAGGACUUAUAGUAAGCGAGAUUAGCACAGCCCAAAACGUCAGGUCGAGGUGUAGCGUAUGGAAAGGGAAGAAAUGGGCUACAUUCCAUAACAUUAAGGAAUUACGAAUGAUUACACUGAAACACGUAUCUGAAGGAGGAUUUAGCAGUAAGCAGAAAAUAGAGCGUUCCGCUGAAACCGGCCCUGAAGCGCGCACACACCGCCCGUCACUCUCCCCAAGCUCCUUCCGUCCAAUAACUUAAAACUUUCUAACUGCAA
rnacentral:rRNA from 1 species